GGAAAGGCGCGCGAUACAGGGUGACAGCCCCGUACACAAAAAUGCACAUGCUGUGAGCUCGAUGAGUAGGGCGGGACACGUGGUAUCCUGUCUGAAUAUGGGGGGACCAUCCUCCAAGGCUAAAUACUCCUGACUGACCGAUAGUGAACCAGUACCGUGAGGGAAAGGCGAAAAGAACCCCGGCGAGGGGAGUGAAAAAGAACCUGAAACCGUGUACGUACAAGCAGUGGGAGCACGCUUAGGCGUGUGACUGCGUACCUUUUGUAUAAUGGGUCAGCGACUUAUAUUCUGUAGCAAGGUUAACCGAAUAGGGGAGCCGAAGGGAAACCGAGUCUUAACUGGGCGUUAAGUUGCAGGGUAUAGACCCGAAACCCGGUGAUCUAGCCAUGGGCAGGUUGAAGGUUGGGUAACACUAACUGGAGGACCGAACCGACUAAUGUUGAAAAAUUAGCGGAUGACUUGUGGCUGGGGGUGAAAGGCCAAUCAAACCGGGAGAUAGCUGGUUCUCCCCGAAAGCUAUUUAGGUAGCGCCUCGUGAAUUCAUCUCCGGGGGUAGAGCACUGUUUCGGCAAGGGGGUCAUCCCGACUUACCAACCCGAUGCAAACUGCGAAUACCGGAGAAUGUUAUCACGGGAGACACACGGCGGGUGCUAACGUCCGUCGUGAAGAGGGAAACAACCCAGACCGCC
rnacentral:rRNA from 1 species